rnacentral:rRNA from 1 species
GGGCCCGCACAAGCGGUGGAGCAUGUGGUUUAAUUCGAUGCAACGCGAAGAACCUUACCUACCCUUGACAUCCUGCGAACCCGCCGGAGACGGCGGGGUGCCUUCGGGAGCGCAGAGACAGGUGCUGCAUGGCUGUCGUCAGCUCGUGUUGUGAAAUGUUGGGUUAAGUCCCGUAACGAGCGCAACCCUUGUCCUUAUUUGCCAGCACGUAAAGGUGGGAACUCUAAGGAGACUGCCGGUGACAAACCGGAGGAAGGUGGGGACGACGUCAAGUCAUCAUGGCCCUUACGGCCUGGGCUACACACGUGCUACAAUGGCUAGGACAGACGGCCGCAAACCCGCGAGGGGAGCCAAUCCGACAAACCUAGUCGUAGUCCGGAUCGGAGUCUGCAACUCGACUCCGUGAAGUCGGAAUU